GUGUCAAAGUUUAAAUAUCCAGAAGUGUCUGAAGCUAAACCUACCAACACUGAUUUCAUUGAUUGAUUCCAAAUUCGUGAAUAAGUCUUCGACCAGUAUUUUUACGAAAAAAAUUCAUUAUGGGUUAUUUCACCUUCAUUACUGUUCUCACAUUUCUGAUAUUGAUCCCGGAUUCUGCAGAUUCCUGGUGUAAUUAUCCAUCAACAAGCCGCGCUGGAACAUACAGCGACUAUUAUGUUGGUGAAAUGAGCCUGGCUGAUGCAAAGAAAGGAAGGAAAAAACGUAAUGCCAUCUACCCAUGGACAUUCAGCCACAGUAUGAUUCUAUUUCGUGGCAUGGUUUUCGAAUGGGGCAUCGGAAAAAGUUACCACAUGUCACGUAGUCCAAGCUCCUGUCAGAUCACCUGGCGCAACAGCCGAGAAAGCUUUAGCAAGUGCACACUGAGCGACGCGAUUAACUGGACCAGAAGAUACGGAAGAUCAAAUACUUAUAAUAUUCUAUUAAACAACUGCCAUAUGUUUGUUAAUAGACUGGCCAGAUACCUGUAUAAGGACUGCGGA